rnacentral:rRNA from 1 species
GAUGAACGCUAGCGAUAGGCUUAACACAUGCAAGUCGAGGGGCAGCACAAGGUAGCUUGCUAUCUGGGUGGCGACCGGCGCACGGGUGCGUAACGCGUAUGCAACUUGCCCUAUACAGGAGGAUAACCCGUCGAAAGACGGACUAAUACUGCGUAUGCUCACAACUUGGCAUCAAGUGGUGAGGAAAGAAAUUCGGUAUAGGAUAGGCAUGCGUCCCAUUAGCUUGUUGGUGAGGUAACGGCUCACCAAGGCAACGAUGGGUAGGGGAACUGAGAGGUUUAUCCCCCACACUGGUACUGAGACACGGACCAGACUCCUACGGAAGGCAGCAGUGAGGAAUAUUGGUCAAUGGGCGCGAGCCUGAACCAGCCAAGUCGCGUGAAGGAUGACUGUCUUAUGGAUUGUAAACUUCUUUUAUACGGGAAUAACAAGAGUCACGUGUGACUCCCUGCAUGUACCGUAUGAAUAAGCAUCGGCUAACUCCGUG